rnacentral:pre_miRNA from 1 species
GUUGAUCACUCUCCCUCAAGGGCUUCACACCAAGGUAGAGUUUUAUAUCCCAGGGAGACUUGGGGUAUUUACACAAGGCUGUGAAGCCCUUGGGGGAGACUGACCAA